rnacentral:SRP_RNA from 1 species
GUGGGGUCUUGUGGCGGGCACCUGUAAUCCCAGUUACUCGGGAGGCUGAGGCAAGAGAAUCAUUUAAGCCCAAGAGUUUGAGGUUGCUGUGAGCUGUGACGCCACAGCACUCUACCAAGGGUGACAAAGUGAGACUCUGUCUCAAAAAAUAAUAAUAAAUAAAUAAAACUGUUUUCUUUUUUUAGAGAUAGAGUCUUACUUUGUCACUCUGGGUAGAGUGAUGUGGCAUCACAGCUCACAGCAAUCUCAGCUCUUGGGCUUAGAUGAUUCUCUUGCCUUAG